CUCAGAGCAGCGUGGGAUCAUUCCAGGACACGGUGAGGCCCACGUCCCCGGCCCUGGUCACCACAGAGCAUGUGCAAAGGUCCUUCCUCCGGCUUUCCUUAAGGAUCGGCAAACGGUGGUCGGAGAGGAGGGGAGAUGCUUUCCUAGAGCCCGCCCUCUCCUGGGCAGCCUCCGGCCACGGCCACGCCCCUGUCCCAGAACACGCAGCACCACUGCCUGCCAUGGACACGAGUCCUGGCCGGAGUUGCCCAGAGCCCAGCAGUGUCAGCGAUGGGGAGGGGGUGAUUGAAUCUUAGAGGUGGAGGAUUCAACACAAAACCUUCCCGUGUCCGGAUGUCCCCCGAUCUCUCUGCUGCCACCCCUCUAAGCACUGCCAUCUCCCCAGCUUCAGAGACCAAGCUCAGACUUCAAGCCACUGCGAGAGAGAGUGGAAGAGAGAGGGAAAGACAGAAGGAAACUGAUGGGAGAGA